rnacentral:rRNA from 1 species
GACGAACGCUGGCGGCGUGCUUAACACAUGCAAGUCGAACGAUGAAGGAGAGCUUGCUCUCCGGAUUAGUGGCGAACGGGUGAGUAACACGUGACUAACCUGCCCCUUUCUCUGGGAUAACGCUCCGAAAGGAGUGCUAAUACCGGAUACGAACUCUGAACACAUGUUCGGAGUUGGAAAGUUUUUCGGAAAGGGAUGGAGUCGCGGCCUAUCAGCUUGUUGGUGAGGUAACGGCGCACCAAGGCGACGACGGGUAGCCGGCCUGCGAGGGCGACCGGCCACACUGGGACUGAGACACGGCCCAGACUCCUACGGGAGGCAGCAGUGGGGAAUAUUGCACAAUGGGCGAAAGCCUGAUGCAGCGACGCCGCGUGAGGGAUGAAGGUCUUCGGAUUGUAAACCUCUUUCAGUAGGGACGAAGCGAAAGUGACGGUACCUAAAGAAGAAGCACCGGCUAACUACGUGCCAGCCGCCGCGGUAA